rnacentral:piRNA from 1 species
GCUAUUCCUGUGCCUGUCCUUGGAGC